rnacentral:rRNA from 1 species
GAUGAACGCUGGCGGCGUGCCUAAUACAUGCAAGUCGAGCGAACAGACGAGGAGCUUGCUCCUCUGACGUUAGCGGCGGACGGGUGAGUAACACGUGGAUAACCUACCUAUAAGACUGGGAUAACUUCGGGAAACCGGAGCUAAUACCGGAUAAUAUAUUGAACCGCAUGGUUCAAUAGUGAAAGACGGUUUUGCUGUCACUUAUAGAUGGAUCCGCGCCGCAUUAGCUAGUUGGUAAGGUAACGGCUUACCAAGGCAACGAUGCGUAGCCGACCUGAGAGGGUGAUCGGCCACACUGGAACGGGGACGCGGUCCAGACUCCUACGGGAGGCAGCAGUAGGGAAUCUUCCGCAAUGGGCGAAAGCUUGACGGAGCAACGCCGCGUGAGUGAUGAAGGUCUUCGGAUCGUAAAACUCUGUUAUUAGGGAAGAACAAAUGUGUAAGUAACUAUGCACGUCUUGACGGUACCUAAUCAGAAAGCCACGGCUAACUACGUG